ACCCCACGUGGGGUUGGCCAACCGCCUCGA
rnacentral:sRNA from 1 species